GAUGAACGCUGGCGGCGUGCCUAACACAUGCAAGUCGAGAGAAGCGCUUAAAUUAGAUUUCUUCGGAAUGACGAUUUUUGUGACUGAGCGGCGGACGGGUGAGUAACGCGUGGGUAACCUGCCUCAUACAGGGGGAUAACAGUUAGAAAUGACUGCUAAUACCGCAUAAGACCCCAGCUUCGCAUGAAGCGGUGGUAAAAACUCCGGUGGUAUGAGAUGGACCCGCGUCUGAUUAGCUAGUUGGUAAGGUAACGGCUUACCAAGGCGACGAUCAGUAGCCGACCUGAGAGGGUGACCGGCCACAUUGGGACUGAGACACGGCCCAGACUCCUACGGGAGGCAGCAGUGGGGAAUAUUGCAUAAUGGGGGAAACCCUGAUGCAGCGACGCCGCGUGAAGGAUGAAGUAUUUCGGUAUGUAAACUUCUAUCAGCAGGGAAGAAAGUGACGGUACCUGACUAAGAAGCCCCGGCUAACUACGUG
rnacentral:rRNA from 1 species